rnacentral:rRNA from 1 species
GUGCCAGCAGCCGCGGUAAGACGUAGGGCGCGAGCGUUGUCCGGAUUUAUUGGGCGUAAAGAGCUCGUAGGCGGCUUGUUGCGUCGACCGUGAAAACCCGUGGCUUAACUGCGGGCUUGCGGUCGAUACGGGCGGGCUGGAGUUCGGUAGGGGAGACUGGAAUUCCUGGUGUAGCGGUGAAAUGCGCAGAUAUCAGGAGGAACACCGGUGGCGAAGGCGGGUCUCUGGGCCGAUACUGACGCUGAGGAGCGAAAGCGUGGGGAGCGAACAGGAUUAGAUACCCUGGUAGUCC